CAAAGAGGAGAGCAGCCGCCGCCGCGGCGCCCGAGGGUAGGGGCGGGACUUGGGAAGAAACUGGGCUGCGAAUCGGCCGGGGCUGCAGAAGAGCCGGGGGCCGGUGCCGCCCCUCCCCCUCCCUGGCCUUCCUCCCCGGGUCUCUGCCCCGGCUGCCCCUCUACCGGGGAGCAGCGCCGCCCGUGACGUCUGCGGACACGCGGUCGGCCACCGCGGGGGAGGGGCGCACGGGGGGCGCCCGGCCGGCCCCCCGCUGCCAGACGCGCCAUUUCCUUUACGCGCGCGGCGCGAUGGAGACGUCUACCGCCAAGGCUCCCCGCGGCGCUGAGGCCUGCGCCCGGGGCGUCCCUCCUGGUACUCGAGUCGGCUGCCCCUUCCUCCUCCUCUUCUACCUCCUCCUCCCCUUCCUCUUUCUCCUGUUUCCCUUGCGCCCCGCCCGUCCCCCCUCCUCCUCCUGGACCAUUUCCCGGCUCCUAGGAGACGGAGCGCGGAGCCUCCGGUGCACUGCGCCCGGCCUGCACUGCGCCCCCGUCCGGCUGCGGGGACGCCCGGGCCAGAGCCAGGCUCGAACUGGAGGACCGGUGCGCUCCGGCCGGGAUCGGCGCGGGGGCCCCCACCCCGAGCUCCAGCCGGACCUGGACGCCCUCUAGCGGCUUCACUCACGGGAGGGGCGCUGGUGAAUAGAGGACAAGGUGGGGGGCCUGCCUCCCUUGACCAGGAGACCUCGCGCGUGGAAAGAGGGCCCGCACCGCCGUACUGUAACUUCUCCACGCGGGAAUAAGGAGAAACUUUCCUCCUAAGGAAAGGUUUUAUUUAUUUAUUUACUUUAGAGCUCGAACUACAGGAGAAGGGGGAAAUUUUCUCAUUAAAGUUACAUCCCUGCAGUUAGUUCAAUUACUUGAUAUAUGCAGAAGAUGUUGUUAAUUUAUAGAUUUAAAUAGCUUACAAAGAUGCCGCAGGCCCCAUCAGUUAAUUUCCUUAAUUUAUGGAUUCUUAGCUGCUUCUUGAAGAGAAAGGGGCCCUGGAAGUAGGUCAGGGAUCUGUGCAGCGGCUCCCGCACGGCCCAUGGGCUGCCCACUCAGCUCCCCACGCCCUGGCGCCCCCGGGGCUUUUGGCUCCCAGCUCGGGCCUGACAGCACCACUGUCUGCUCUCUACAUCUCGGCCAGGCCCAGCAGAUCUGCUUUGCUCCUUGGUGACUGCCCCAGUCUCUCCAGAGCUACGCAAGGCCAAGGAGCAGCAAAGCUCCCAUCUACACCCACCCCACCCGGCACUGCUGAAGGGAUGGGCCCAAAUAAGAAGUGAAACAAGUAUCCAAAUACCUUGAUCUCCUGUGUCCUCCCUUAAAUGCUGGCUGGGAUCACAAAUGGAGAAAGGUGUGUGUGGAUACCCCAAACUUCUUCAGGGAAAGAAACUUCCCCCUUCUCAAGCCUUGGAGUGCUUGGGGGUGGGGGCAGGGAAGAGGGAGGCAUGAGGAAGAGUGCUCCAGGCUCCCAUUUGAGCAGAGACCCCCUGAAAACUUGCCUGUCAUGGGGCCACCCCUGUGACCCCAUCGCCCCUCACCCCUCUCCCCUCACCCGCUAGGUGCCUGCUAGAGCUUCUUUGUUUUGUGUUCAAUAUGGAUGAAUAUAUACAUAUAAAUUAAUACUUAGAUGGGUAUAAACUAAACUGUUUCAGGAAGCCACAUGGCGAUGUGAUUAGUAUUGGUAUUCAUGAUUUAACAUUUCUUUUCCCACUAGAUGAAGUUUCUAAGAUUUGCAAGGUACAUGUCAAGGACGGGUGUAUAAAUGGAUUUUUAUUUAUUCACAACUCCAAGACUAAUUGCUUCUCUUUGCCUCAAGGCCAUGAGAUUGGUUUUAAUAUGACACUUCAAAAGUAUUCAUGGAACUACAGAGAUACUAAGUGUCAUUGUUUAAGAGACAAAUCUCACUGUGGUACUGGUGACCCUGCAAAGAGGAUGUUCCGUUUCAUUUUAAAUUCCUCGAUGUUUUUUUAAGCGUUUCACUUUAUACCAACUAUAUUAAAAAUGCACAAUUUAAUUGAAACAAGAACUGACCAUUUUGAAAGACCUUUAUUUCCUUAAUAUUGCUGGGAACUUUGUUUUCAUAUUCCUGAAUCCUUUUAUUAAAGAGCUGAACUUUUUACGUGUCAUUAAGAAGAGUAAGUUUGGGCCAUAAUUUAUUCUCAAGUGUUUGAAAAGUUCCCAGCUAAAUGUCAACCAUCUUUUACAUUGAGAGACUUGGACGUGGGCUGUGAUAGGCAUUUAAUGAUCUGUGGUAUAUAAGGCAGUGGUGAGGUUUUGUUUUUUUUAAUUGAAGAUGUAUAAUUAGGACUGAAAACAUACUGAAACAUCUUGUGAAACACAUCUUGUUUCAUUACUAUAGUCCAAGAGGUGAAAUGGGAUGUGAGUCUAAUCAGAAUGGAACUUGCAACUUGCUUCGUCAGUAGAUUUGACUGGCACUUGAGCCCUUAUGGUUCACAUAUUUUAAAAAGUGGGUUCAGACCUGAGCUUGCUUUGAGGCUGCUCUGCAUGAGCUCACAUGAAGCCCAUGUGGGUCAGGCCCUGCAUCAAGGUGUUGUGGACAAGACCUCCGUCUUCGGAUGUUUCAAAGCGGCUUCCAGUGUGACUUUGUAUUUUGUUGUUGCUGUGUGCAGACCAUAUUUUAAGAUCAAGACCUUAAUAAGAAGAUGAGGUCCCAAAGUCUGCUGAACUCAACCUUCUCAGGAAGUCUGUGACCAGAUAGCAGAUGUACGGACUGAGACACAGCUGCUGCCCUCCGAGAGGGGAGAGUGUGAGGGUAGGGGGAUGGGGAGAGGCUGGGGUGUUAGGGCUGUCUGCUCCGCCACCCCCAGGCUCGCUGGGGUGAAAGCCAGGCCCUCCCAGGUCUGCGCCCACCGCCAGACGCAGAGUUGGCCCCUGACCAGGCUAGGACAGAGCCAGCCUGGCCCAGAGAUCACAGUCUGACAUCUGCUUGGCCUCUGCCUCCAUUCCAGGAAUCCCCCAAUCUUCCCUGUAGGACCCCAGUGAAUCUGGAAACUAAAGGGAGUGAUAAAAUGUGGGACUGUCAGCGCCGCGCCCUGCAAACAGGGCCUCCUGACUGUCAGCCAGGUGACCGGCUCCCUGGAGGGCAGCGGUCCAAACCUGACUGAGGGAUGGCAGGGGGGGGCCCACUGCCUGUCCUUGAAGUUAAUAAAACAAGACCAGCCGGCUCCCACGGAGCUCUGCUCAGUCCCCAGCACUACGCUCAGUGGGAUUUCUGGUUUCUGAUGGGAGGGAAAGCAGGGCCUGUCUCCAGGGGCUACAGACCACCCCCUCCUUCUUGCCUUCUGCCUGCAGCCCAGGUAUGCUGCUCAGAACCAAACCAACCUGCCCUCCCUGGCAGCCAGCAUCAGGGUGACAGCGAUGAGACAAGACUGAGAUCUCCUGACCAGGAAUCCUAACAUGGUGGUGGCCUGUGGAUGACCUCUGGGGGACCAGGGCCCCCUCCCCCAACUUGAUCAAUAUUCUGCCUCUGAGCCUUCUUCCCAAGAGAAGUUUCAGCACGUUUACCAGAUUUUCAGAGUCUGUGGCUCCUUCUCUCGAGCUGCAUCAGUGAAGUCCCAAGGUCCUCCCAGCAGCCCUUCAAGGUAUGGAGACGCGGCUGUUCCCUGCAAAAGCACCUGGCGUUCAUCAGGGCCAUCAACACGUGCUGCUCUCCCCAUGCAACACACAGAAAAGAAUUCCAGAAAGUGGCUUUAGACAUCUAUACCCUUGCCAUGGCACCAUGCUCGGCAGAACGUACUCCUCCACUCCCCAAUCCUCGGCUUCACCAAAGGGAAGUUAGCAGAUGCAGCACAAGGAGCAGAGGCUUGAAGUAUACUCCCGCAGCUGAGCUUGCCUCUCGAGCUUCUGCCAUUGCAGUAGGAAGAAAAUGCCCCAGGCAACUGCUGACCCUCCAGGUUGAGCCCCAGAAUGAGACACGUGGGGUGGGGCUGCACCAGCAACCAUGACACAUGAGAAAUAAAUGCUUAUUGUU